AGUGCACGCUGGCGGUAGGCCUAACACAUGCAAGUCGAACGGCAGCACAGUAAGAGCUUGCUCUUACGGGUGGCGAGUGGCGGACGGGUGAGGAAUACAUCGGAAUCUACUUUUUCGUGGGGGAUAACGUAGGGAAACUUACGCUAAUACCGCAUACGACCUACGGGUGAAAGCAGGGGAUCUUCGGACCUUGCGCGAUUGAAUGAGCCGCUGUCGGAUUAGCUAGUUGGCGGGGUAAAGGCCCACCAAGGCGACGAUCCGUAGCUGGUCUGAGAGGAUGAUCAGCCACACUGGAACUGAGACACGGUCCAGACUCCUACGGGAGGCAGCAGUGGGGAAUAUUGGACAAUGGGCGCAAGCCUGAUCCAGCCAUACCGCGUGGGUGAAGAAGGCCUUCGGGCUGUAAAGCCCUUUUGUUGGGAAAGAAAAGCAGCAGGUUAAUACCCCGCUGUUCUGACGGUACCCAAAGAAUAAGCACCGGCUAACUUCGUG
rnacentral:rRNA from 1 species